CCUACGGGGGACAGCAGUGAGGAAUAUUGGUCAAUGGGCGGGAGCCUGAACCAGCCAAGCCGCGUGAAGGAAGAAGGCGCCAGGCGUCGUAAACUUCUUUUGUCGGGGAACAAAGGGCGCCACGCGUGGCGUUGUGAGUGUACCCGAAGAAAAAGCAUCGGCUAACUCCGUGCCAGCAGCCGCGGUAAUACGGAGGGGGCAAGCGUUAUCCGGAUUUAUUGGGUGUAAAGGGGGCGCAGACGGGAGCGCAAGCCAGUGGUGAAAGCCCGCGGCGCAACCGCGGGACUGCACUUGAAACUGGGCGGCUUGAGUGCAGGAGGGGUAGGCGGAAUUCGUGGUGUAGCGGUGAAAUGCGUAGAUAUCAGGAGGAACACCGGUGGCGAAGGCGGCCUGCUGGACUGCGACUGACGUUGAGGCCCGAAAGCGUGGGGAGCAAACAGGAUUAGAUACCCUUGUAGUC
rnacentral:rRNA from 1 species